UGGUACUGUUACUACCAAUGUACCUCAAAUAGGAUUUCAAUUGUUUAAUGUAUGUGCAGUACUUGUAUAUAUUUCUAAAUUAUAAACUUCUGAUAUUAGGAAUUCUUUUAGUUUCAAUUUCUACAACUUCUUUUAGUUUCAUUUAUACAAUAUAAUUAUUGUCUAUUACUUGUUUUAUUAUUUAGUGGCACUCGCAACUUGCAACUUGCAUAUCACGUGUAUGAAUAGAAUUAGGAUAGAAAUGACACGAUCAUGAUUAUCGUAAUAGUGAAAAUCUAAACUUCUUGUUGAUCUGUGCUCUCAAGUAUGAGUUAGUUCUUUUGGUAGUUAGCAUUUCUGAAUGUAGUAUAAGAUAAACAGGAUCUUACAUGUUGCAGGCUAUAGACAAAUUUGAGAAGGGAAAAGUUGAAUAUAGAGCAUAUAAGACGAGAGUUGUUAAUUUACCUAUCAGAAAGGCUAUUUUUCCAUAGGAAGAUCUUCCUGUAAGCUUGCUUGCUGUAGUGGUACUCUCUCACUCUUUCUGUCAUGUUUCACCAUCAUUGCACACUGAUUCAUUGCCUAGAUGCAAUAUCUAAUUUUGUGUAUUAUUUGUUUUGGAGGAAGAUCUUUAAUUUUGUUGUUGGUACUCUUAACAAAACUGUUUCCUACAAUUAUUUCAUUAAACAGUUUUAGUAAUAUAAUUAUUUGGGAGAAAAUUAAUAUUAGAUAUUUUUGCAACCAUCUUAUGUAUGUUUGGGAUUUGUAUACACACACACAUAGGUUUAAAAAAUAAAUGAUAUAAUUUUUUCAUUUCAUUCUCGACAGAUAGCCCGUCGCCUAUGAGUCCGUCGAUCUUUAACUCAUUCUCAACGGUAGCACCCGGUGACGACACCGUUGACGAUGAUAGGGGCGACAAAAAAGGCGUGAAUGAGAUCAUUUUUGACGAAUUUUUUUGUUGUCUACUUUAAAAAUUGCUUUAGAAUGUACUAAAAUUUGCUAUAUUUAAUUUUUGGCAAAACUAAUGAAUUACCCACUGUAGUCGACACGUUUUACUCAUUACACCAUUGAACUUUUAAUUUUUCAAAUUAUCCCAGUAAACUAAUUAUUAUUUUGAAAUUGGGUCAUUCCGUUAAAAACAUUAAACAACCGUUAAUUUUUUAUCGACAAAACUAUUGAAUUAUCCACUGUAGUCGACAUGUUUUACUGAUUGUACUAAUAAACUUUUAAUUUUUUAAAUUACCCCAGUAAAAAUAAUUAUUAUUUUGAAAUUAGGUCAUUCGGCUAAAAAAAUUAAGCAGACAUUAAUUUUUUAUCUACGUGGCUUUGGAAAAAAAAAUUCAAAAUUCAAAAAUAUUAUUUAUGUAGCAAAAAAAUAAAAAACUUGAAAAUGAAAGCAAAAAAAUUAAAAUAUCUUGGUACUCUGAUCUCAAACGUUUAUCAAUAGAAGAAACUUUCUCACGAAUGAAAAGUAAUGUAUCAACAACAGAAAUGAAAAUGCGAUAAUUGGCAAUAACCACCUCUUGUAUUUGCCUCUGAAUUAUCUCCGCAUUCAUCCGUAAAAACUCAAGCUUAUAUCAAAUCAUAAAUACAAUCCCAACAAAAUCAAUUUAACCAAAUAUUACUACCAUAUGUGUGUGUGUAUAUAUAUAUAUACAUAUAUAUAUAGAGAGAUUGGAGAAGGAGUGGACCUUGUGGAGGCGAUCAAGAGUGAAUGAGGAGUUCAGAGACAUAAGGCCGCUUAGAGUCGAAUGUAAAAGGGAGGAAACCUACACCACCAUUUACUUCAUCUGUUGUUGGGGAUUCAGACUCCAUUGUUAUAUCUAAUGAUGAAUUUUGAAGCUCAAUUCAAUGUUUUGGGUAUUUGGAUCUAGGAAUUUUCAUUAAUUUUAUAGAGAAAAUGCGCAAUCUAUUUGAUUUGGGGGAGAAGAGAGAGAUGAUGGGAAGGAAGAGAGAGAAUAAAUCAAAUUUGUUUAUUUUCUUUUUUCUUUUUCACGUUCACGUAUGAUAAAAACUGAAAUGAUUUUAUAGUCGCGAGGCAGAGAACAUAAUUACCUAAUUUCAAAAUAAUAAUUAGUUUAAUGGAAUAAUUUGAAAAAUUAAAAAUUCAACGACGUAAUCAGUAAAACGUGCCAAUUACAGUGGGUAAUUUAUUAGUUUUGUCAAUAAAAAAUUAAUUGCCGUUUAAUUUUUUAAACAGAAUGACUCAAUUUCAAAAUAAUAAUUAGUUUAAUAGGGUAAUUUGAAAAAUUAAAAGUUCAAUGGUGUAAUCAGUAAAACGUGGCAACUACAGUAGGUAAUUCAUUAGUCUUGCCCCUUUUUUUUUCUUCCGCCAAUUGGAAUUUGUUGGACUCGAAAGUAUUAUCUUCAAUUUUUUUUAUGACCGUGUAUGAAUUAUGCAUGAGCUUUUAAUAAGUUGAUUGAUUUCUUUACAUGAGAUGGGCAAGUCUUUGCAUUAAAUCUAGUGCUUUAAGUUUUUUAUUUAUAUCUUUUAAAAUUUUGCGUAAGUACUUGGUUUCUCUUCCAAAUGUAUCUCAUGUUUUUUGUAUUUCACAAUAUGCUACUUAUCUACCUAUCUAUUAAUUAUAUAUAAACUCUAUAAUUAUCAAGCGUUAAUUUGAUAACUGAUGCUAGUAACCACAAUGUUAUGGACCUUGUGGUUUAAUGUUGGCAACUUAAGCUGAUUAUUGGUGUUGAUAUCAAAUGUACUGUUCGGUUUAAUGAAGUGGUUUUGAUUAAUCAAGUUUACUCUUUGAUUAUUCUCUAUGCUCACGUUCAAUAUUUUUUUUUCAUUACUUUAUUUUACUCUUUUCUUUUUCUUUCCUUUCUCAAUAAUUUUCCUUCAAAUUUUGUAUGAAUUGAAUUCCUUUCCUAUCGUCUUUCUCCUCCAUGUCGUGAUUGUUAAUACUUGCCUUGAUUGAAUUACACCUUUUGUUUUUGGCAUACAUAUUCCCUUCCUAGGUUAAGUUGUAUAAUGAUGUAUAAUUAUAGUUAAUUUUGGCAUUAAUUUUACGUUUAUUGGUGUUUAUUUUAUUUUAUUUUUUUGAAAAAACUUGUCUUGAAAAUAAAGAGUUCUUUGAUCUUAUGUAGUUGGUGCUUAAAAUUGGAGUCCAAUAUAGUCAUUGUGAAUGCAUUUGGUAGCUGUUGUGGCAUAGGAAGGAGGGGUGUCACUGGUGAUUGGCGAAGUGGAAGUUGUACCACCAUAGACCAGGUUAGUACACAAUUUUUAUUCAUGCUUAUUUCUUCUAUGCAUAAUUUUAUGUCUGUUGUUUGGCAAUUAGUUUUAGAUUUAAGUGUCCGUUUUUAUAUCUAUUUUGUUAAGGGAGAGCAGAAAAACUGUUCUGUUGAAGUUGUGUCACUUUUUAAUUUUUCCCCUCUCCUACUCUCUCAAUCCUAAAUUAUCCCCCAACAAUUACUUAAGGUUUUUACUUGCAUACAAUGUGUGUGCCAAGGAAGGCUAGUUAUAUAUAAUGUGCCUAUCCUUUAUUAUUUUUUCCCUUGUAUUGAACUAACUUUUGCAUUAUGACUUUGCGUUUGAAAAAUGGAAUAUAUCUACCUAUAUAUAUAUAUAUAUAUAUAUAACUUGUAUUUACAUUUAAUAUGGUUCAACAAAUAAACAUCAUUCAGCACACAUUUCAUUGAUGCUAGGUGUGAUGAAAUGAUUUAUCACAUUCAACAGCCACCAAGGUUUGCAAUAUUCAUUGCGAGUUAAACUUGAUAUACAAGGUAUUCAGAUAAAGUUGAAAACUAUUUAACUUAAUUACUAGGAGACAAGCAAACGGAUAUCAAGCAACAAGGACGAAUCUUCAUUAUCCGCAAGAUCAAAACUGCAUGACUUUUCUUCUCAAAGGAUAGCCCUGAAAAUAUGUGAGAAAACACUAACAUCUUCCUGUUCCAUGACAAAAAAAUUAUCGGGAAUAACAAAAUCAAUUACUUAAACGUUUUCUAAUAACUACAUAGGAACAAUCUCAUGAUCAAUUUUGUUUGUCAUAGUAUCCCUAUCCUUAUAUAUUGUGACGUCUUCUAUACUCUUCUCAAUGAUGGUCAACUCUUUCGGAACUUUGGAUUCUUCAAUAGUGUUUGUAAUUUGAAUCUCAGUUUGACUUUGUUCCAAAACAAUACCCUUCUGAACUUUCAAACACAGUGCUUCAAUUUGUGGUGUACCGAUAGGUUUUUGAAAUUCUUAAUAUGUAAUCAAGUACUUUACCUGUUCACGACCAUCAAUUGCAUACUCAUCCAAUUCAAAUUUUAGCUUUAGAUACCUUGCAGUAUGAUGCCCGUUUGAUUAGUGAGGAAGCAAACGAAUUCUCUUCUUUCCACAAUAAAAAUUAUAGCCAUUUUCACAAUCAAAAAUAUUCACCAUGAAAAUCUUUCAACCAUAACCAUCCUAGCAAUAUAUGUGUUACAUCUAUAGGCAAAAACAUGACAAACCACCUCAGUUGUAUACUUUUUAAAUUUAAUUGGCACAACACUCCAAUGUGAAACUGUGAUUGAGGUAUUAUUGAGGUAAGGAAUUUCAAAGGAAUAAGAAAUUAGUUCGGGUUGAAGGUUUAAUUCUUUCACAAGUUUGGGUGAAACAAUAUUAAAGUCACUAUCUUUAUCAAGAACUAGUUUACAUGCCUUUGACUGACUUACAACAGUGAACAUAAGUUUGAAAAGUAGAUUUGGGUCGCGAGUUAUUAUGUUGAAGCACUUUAGAUAUAAAAACGUUCUCAUAUUGGCAAGAGUAUUAAAACUCACCGAACAAUACAAUUUUGGGGUGUGUUUUCAGCACGUAUAAAACAUUAAGGUUUGGUAUGCAAGUAUUUAGAAGUUGAAGAAAUAAUCUUAGUGAAACUAAGAGGGAUCAAAUUGAUAGUUUGCAAUAUUAAAUCAAAUUGAUAAUUUUCUUCUUGUUUUUUUUGGAUAAGCGAAAAUUACGCGCGGCCUCGUUCCACCAUCCUAUUACUUUGGUUGGAUUAUUCGUAACUGCAUAUUUACAAUGUAG
rnacentral:lncRNA from 1 species